GUAGGGAAUAUUGGACAAUGGGGGGAACCCUGAUCCAGCCAUGCCGCGUGGAGGAAGACUGCCCUCUGGGUUGUAAACUCCUUUUAUAUGGGAAGAACCGUCCUCAUUAAUGAGUGACCUGACGGUACCAUAGGAAUAAGCACCGGCUAACUCCGUGCCAGCAGCCGCGGUAAUACGGAGGGUGCAAGCGUUAUCCGGAUUCACUGGGUUUAAAGGGUGCGUAGGCGGAUAAAUAAGUCAGUGGUGAAAUCAACGGGCUCAACCUGUUAACUGCCAUUGGUACUGUGUAUCUUGAAUAUGGGAGAGGUAGGCGGAAUGUUGCAUGUAGCGGUGAAAUGCUUAGAUAUGCUACGGAACACCGAUUGCGAAGGCAGCUUACUAUUUCGUAAUUGACGCUGAGGCACGAAAGCGUGGGUAGCGAACAGGAUUAGAAACCCCAGUAGUCC
rnacentral:rRNA from 1 species